UUACAUGAUAAAGUGCCGGGAUGGUUGCACAGGGCUUCACUGUUGAUCUCAAUAAGCCUCUUGUCUUCCAGGUUGGUCAUCUGGGAGAAGCAUAUGAGGAAUGGGUUCAUCAGCCUAUUGUAAGCAAGGAAGGCCCUCGAUUUUUUGAGAGUGAUUUCUGGGAGUUCCUGACUCGCACGGUUUGGUGGGCAAUUCCAGUUAUUUGGCUGCCAGUUGUAUGCUGGUGCAUCUCAAAGUCUGUGCGAAUGGGCCACACACCUUUUGAGAUGGCCUUAAUGGUGGGUUUUGGCAUUUUUGUCUGGACGUUGCUUGAAUACAGUUUACACCGUUUCCUUUUCCACAUCAAAACAAAGAGUUACUGGGGGAACACCUUACACUAUCUUCUUCAUGGCUGCCAUCAU
rnacentral:misc_RNA from 1 species